rnacentral:piRNA from 1 species
UGACUCACAUCUAUCAUCAUAGUAAGCAU